AUUGAACGCUGGCGGCAGGCUUAACACAUGCAAGUCGAACGGAGUGGCGGACGGGUGAGUAAUGCUUGGGAAUCUGGCUUAUGGAGGGGGAUAACGUCCGGAAACGGGCGCUAAUACCGCAUACUAUCAGAUGAGCCUAGGUCGGAUUAGCUAGUUGGUGGGGUAAAGGCCUACCAAGGCGACUAUCCGUAACUGGUCUGAGAGGAUGAUCAGUCACACUGGAACUGUGACACGGUCCAGACUCCUACGGGAGGCAGCAGUGGGGAAUAUUGGACAAUGGGCUAAAGCCUGAUCCAGCCAUUCCGCGUGUGUGAAGAAGGUCUUCGGAUUGUAAAGCACUUUAAGUUAGGAGGCGUUACCAACAGAAUAAGCACCGGCUAACUUCGUGCCAGCAGCCGCGGUAAUAC
rnacentral:rRNA from 1 species